rnacentral:lncRNA from 1 species
GCCAGCAAAUGCAAGAAUAUGAUCACCAACAAUUCUGAAGUCAAAAUCAUACAAGGCUUUUGCAAUAAUUUCUCCAAAAUUUGAAAUAAUUUCUGAACAAAAAAUAAAACACUUUUCAGAAACCCCUUCUUUACUUCGAUUCUUCAAGCUUUUGUCCAUGGAUCAGCGUAUAUAUUCGAGUUUCUUUCCUUUUCUCCAGCCAGCAGAAUACUAGCCUAAAUAGUGUCUCUGAUACUUCAAGAUUCCUUAUCAAAGGCACUGUCUUGUUACUUCCCAUUUGCUGGAAAAUUGACUGAUAAGGAUUCAAUCGAAUGCAACUAUGGAGGAGUUCUGUUUCUCGAAGUUCAAUUGAAUACCACAAUGAAUAAUAUUGUGGAUUAUCCUGAUGCUGAAGAUCUCGUGUCUCCCCAAGGUUUACCUUGGGGUAAGUCCAGUAAAGGUCAUCUAGCAGUUCAUCAGCUCAGCUAUUUCAAGUACAGUGGAAUGGCGAUAAGUGCCUGCAUAUCACACAAGGUUGCGGAUGCAUCCACAGCAGCCACUUUCUUCGAUGAUUGGGCUUUGAUUAUGAUUCGGCUUUGAUUGCUCAUCAACCAGGCCAUGUCCCAUCCCCACAUGUCAUUGGUAAAGAAAUUUUCCCACCAUUGGAUUAUCAACCUCUGAAGCUAGCAGGAUUUUCAAGGGUCCUGAAGAAAGCUAGUCACUUUCUUCAGAAGUUGCUCAAGUCCAUAGCAGCAGAUUUGGGGAGGAGAAACUAGUCGUGGUUGUGCUUCUCUUAAACCCUGUAAUGUCUACAGCAAUGUCACGGCUGCACUCUUUUCAGCCUUCUUUACUGUUUCGGUUCACAAACUUGUGCCACAAACUUGUGCCCACUAAUCAUACCACCAAUGCCAGAAUACUCCAUUGGAAACCUUGCUUUGAAUUUCUUCAUACCUGUAUCUGAGGAAAAUGAGAUGAAAUUUUCAGGGUUGAUUUGAAAGUUAAGAAAUGAAAAGAUAAAGAUCAAGAAUCAGUACAGAACAGAAAUGGAAGCUAACGAUUUUUCCUUAAACAUGACAGCAUUACUUAGAGAUCGUGCAAAGCAAUACAAACAUAACAAUUCUGAUCUCUAUCAUUGCAGUAGCUGGUGUGGCUUUCCACUUUACCAGAUUGAUUUUGGAAUGGCAAGACAUUCACGGGUAUCUGUUGCCAGUUGCCACUCAUCCUGAGAAGAACACAUUUAUGUUGAUGGACACUCCAUCUGGG